AGACACAGGAGGUUUUGUGGACAGGGCUGGUGAAGCUCUGGCCACUUCCUCAGUAAACUAGAGACGUGAUCCCCAGGGCCAGGUCUGCCUCUGAGGUCCUACCAGCUGGGACAGGAGGAUGCAAUUCUCUCUCUAAAGUCGAGAGCUCACCACCCCGGGCGUUAGUCACUGCAGACAUCAGACAUCACUGCAGACACAGAGAUGGCCAUUAUGCAGCCUCACGUGGUCGCUCCUGGGGGCUGUGGGAUAUUUGAUCCUAAAGAGAAAACACCUUAAAUUCACGUGUCAUCCACCCCCAUGGCGACUCUUAACACUUUAAUGUAGCACCUUCCAACUUUUCCUGGGCAUUUAUGUACACAUUUUAAAUAAAAUUAGGUUCUUACUGCA
rnacentral:antisense_RNA from 1 species